UACGUAGGGUGCAAGCGUUGUCCGGAAUUAUUGGGCGUAAAGAGCUCGUAGGCGGUCUGUCGCGUCUGCUGUGAAAACUCGGGGCUUAACCCCGGGCCUGCAGUGGGUACGGGCAGACUAGAGGGCGGUAGGGGAGACUGGAAUUCCUGGUGUAGCGGUGAAAUGCGCAGAUAUCAGGAGGAACACCGGUGGCGAAGGCGGGUCUCUGGGCCGUAACUGACGCUGAGAAGCGAAAGCAUGGGGAGCGAACAGG
rnacentral:rRNA from 1 species